UACGGAGGGUGCAAGCGUUGUCCGGAUUUAUUGGGUUUAAAGGGUGCGUAGGUGGUUGAGUAAGUCUGGUUUGAAAGUCAGCCGCUUAACGGUUGAGGGUGGCUGGAUACUGCUUAACUUGAAUUUUCCGGAGGCAGGCGGAACGGGUUGUGUAGCGGUGAAAUGCAUAGAUAUGACCCAGAACACCGAUUGCGAAGGCAGCCUGCUACGGAUGGAUUGACACUGAGGCACGAGAGCAUGGGGAGCAAACAGGAUUAGAUACCCUGGUAGUCCAUGCCGUAAACGAUGAUUACUGUCUGUUUGGUCUUCGGAUUGAGUGGAUAAGCGAAAGCGAUAAGUAAUCCACCUGGGGAGUACGCCGGCAACGGUGAA
rnacentral:rRNA from 1 species